rnacentral:rRNA from 1 species
AGGACGAACGCUGGCGGCGUGCUUAACACAUGCAAGUCGAACGGAAAGGUCUCUUCGGAGAUACUCGAGUGGCGAACGGGUGAGUAACACGUGGGUAAUCUGCCCUGCACUUCGGGAUAAGCCUGGGAAACUGGGUCUAAUACCGAAUAGGACCAUAAGGCGCAUGCCUAUUGGUGGAAAGCUUUUGCGGUGUGGGAUGGGCCCGCGGCCUAUCAGCUUGUUGGUGGGGUGACGGCCUACCAAGGCGACGACGGGUAGCCGGCCUGAGAGGGUGUCCGGCCACACUGGGACUGAGAUACGGCCCAGACUCCUACGGGAGGCAGCAGUGGGGAAUAUUGCACAAUGGGCGCAAGCCUGAUGCAGCGACGCCGCGUGGGGGAUGACGGCCUUCGGGUUGUAACCUCUUUCACCAUCGACGAGGUCCGGGUUUCUCGGAUUGACGGUAGGUGGAGAAGAAGCACCGGCCAACUACGCGCCAGCGCCGCGGU